rnacentral:rRNA from 1 species
GACGAACGCUGGCGGCGUGCUUAACACAUGCAAGUCGAACGGAAAGGCCCUGCUUUUGUGGGGUGCUCGAGUGGCGAACGGGUGAGUAACACGUGAGUAACCUGCCCUUGACUUUGGGAUAACUUCAGGAAACUGGGGCUAAUACCGGAUAGGAGCUCCUGCUGCAUGGUGGGGGUUGGAAAGUUUCGGCGGUUGGGGAUGGACUCGCGGCUUAUCAGCUUGUUGGUGGGGUAGUGGCUUACCAAGGCUUUGACGGGUAGCCGGCCUGAGAGGGUGACCGGCCACAUUGGUACUGAGGGACGGACCAGACUGCUACGGGAGGCAGCAGGGGGGAAUAUGGCACAAUGGGCGGAAGCCUGAUGCAGCAACGCCGCGUGCGUGAUGACGGCCUUCGGGGUGUAAACCGCUUUCGCCUGUGACGAAGCGUGAGUGACGGUAAUGGGUAAAGAAGCACCGGCUAACUACGUG